rnacentral:rRNA from 1 species
CCUACGGGUGGCAGCAGUGAGGAAUAUUGGUCAAUGGACGAGAGUCUGAACCAGCAACGCCGCGUGAAGGAUGAAUGUCCUACGGGUUGUAAACUUCUUUUGUAAGGGAAUAAAGUGGGACACGUGUGCCUGUAUGAGUGUACUUUAUGAAUAAGCAUCGGCUAACUCCGUGCCAGCAGCCGCGGUAAUACGGAGGAUUCGAGCGUUAUCCGGAUUUAUUGGGUUUAAAGGGAGCGUAGAUGGGUUGGUAAGUCAGUCGUGAAAGUGGGCGGCUCAACCGUAAAACUGCAAUUGAUCCUGGCAGCCUUGAGUACAGGAGAGGGAGGCGGAAUUCGUGGUGUAGCGGUGAAAUGCUUAGAUAUUACGAAGAACUCCGAUUGCGAAGGCAGCUUGCUAAACUGCCACUGACACUGAGGCACGAAAGCGUGGGGAGCAAACAGGAUUAGAUACCCCUGUAGUC